rnacentral:rRNA from 1 species
GACGAACGCUGGCGGCGUGCUUAACACAUGCAAGUCGAACGGAAAGGCCUGCUUUCCCUUGUGGAUUGCGGGUACUCGAGUGGCGAACGGGUGAGUAACACGUGAGUGAUCUGCCCCCAACUUGGGUAUAAGCCUGGGAAACUGGGUCUAAUUCCCGAUAGGACUGCAGGGUGGUGCCUGUGGUGGAAAACGAUUUUCUAGUGGUUGGGGAUGAGCUCGCGGCCUAUCAGCUUGUUGGUGGGGUAAUGGCCUACCAAGGCGGCGACGGGUAGCCGGCCUGAGAGGGUGGACGGCCGAAUUGGGACUGGGAUACGGCCCAGACGCCUACGGGAAGCAGCAGUGGGGAAUAUUGCACAAUGGGCGGGAGCCUGAUGCAGCGACGCCGCGUGGGAGAUGACGGCCUUCGGGUUGUAAACUCCUUUCGACCGCGAGGAAGCCACCUGGUUGGAAGGGUGGUGACGGUAGUGGUAGAAGAAGCACCGGCUAACUACGUG